rnacentral:lncRNA from 1 species
GGUGGUAAUUUAGGCUGAUGUAGUUCCUUGAUAUCAUGAGAGACUCAGGCUCUCUUUUUCUUCUUUGAUAUUCCUAGUUCAGGGCUUGCAUAUGUGUGGUCACCCCAUGGUCAGCAGAUGAAUGGGAAGCUCUGACUGACCUGCCUUUGUUCCAGGAAGGAGGUAGUGAAAGGAUAAGAAGUAAGUGUCGUAUUUAAAAUGAGCCAUUCCCUGUUGUUUAAAGUGUUUUCCCAGAAAUGUCAUCCAGAAAAGUACACUUCUAUUCCAUUGGCUAGAACUUAAUUAACUAGUCACUGCUACCUAUAGGGGGUCCUGGGACAUGGAGCCAGGUGCUUUGCCCCACAUUAAUUCUAGAUUCCAUUAGAACGGCACGAGAGGAAAUGGUUAUGGGAUAGGCAACUGCAAUAUCUCCCUCAUUACCCUGCAUUCCUUGUCUCAUAGUUGUCAUCUUGAUUUUAGUAUUGAAUUUGUCCUUUCAUUUUAUUUUUCUUAAAUCUAUUUUUGAGGCAGAUGGUGUCUCAAAAACUAAUGAUUUACUGCAUAGUAACACUCAUAGCUCCUGUGUGCUUAAGAACUGUGCCAAAUAGAUUACCUACAUGUUCUCAUGUUAUCAUGUCAGAAGCAUGAUGAGGUGUGUUCGUUUAUCUUCAUUUUACCAGUGAAUACAUUGAAAUAUGAGAGCAAGUACUUUGCUGAGAUCACUCGGCUAAUACAUGAGAAAUACGGGUUUCUAACUCUUAUAUUUCUUGACUAGUAGGCUCAUUUGUUCAUUCAUUUAAAUAGUCUCUCAUCCUACAUGUGAACAACAUCCCUUACAUCCUUAAAUGAGCUUUUUUUUUUCCUCUCCCACCAUGGCUAGACAGACAAAAAUUUGUCAACAUUUCUUCUACCUUCCUCUCACAUUUCUCUCUACCUGUAGCUUCAUUUCAUGUGAAUACUUCAAGCCCUGGACAUCUAGGGGAAGAUAGCUUGACUUGAAGAUAUUAUAGUGUCAUUUAGCAUAUUGGAAUUAAGCCUGUGAAUCCAUCACAUUUGUAAUUAUUCAAUAUCUAACCUCCCACCUUCUUAGAAUCUCUCUGAGAACAGUAAUGGGUUUUGUGUGUGUCACAGUUUCCCAUUUUUGGUACUGAAGCAGCACUUAUUUCAUGUUUCAUUCAUUCAACAAUUUGUUAUUCAACAGCUCUUGAGUUUCCAGCCCUGUCCUAGAAUCUGGUGUCAUAGCGAUAUAGUCUUUAUCCUCAGGAAGCUUAUUCUCUGCUGUGUGGAAUGGCGAAAGGUAGCUUAAAAACAGAUAGAUGUGUAACAUGGCAGGUGCAUAUGAUAAUAAGGAGAAAAUGAAGGGAAGGAAAGCCAGAGGAAGUGUUAGAAUUGGGAAUGGAGAUGGCAAAAUUUUCUCAUGGUUAUGGUGACAUGUGAUGACAGACCACAAAGCCAUGAAGGAGCAAGGCAUGUGAUGACCUUAGAUGAACAUUGCAAGAAAAGGAAGCAGUUCCUGCAAAGGCCCCAUGGGGAAAGUAUGUGAAGGUGUUUGAGGAAUAGCAACUAUAGAACGUUUUGUCAAAAACUAUUGAUAAGCCCAGGUAACAAGUGGAAAACUUUAAAGGAUAAGGAAGAAACCCAGUUGUGCGGUUAUUAUUUCUAAUUCUAGGCUUCACACAGACUCUGAAUCUUAUUUUAGAAAUAACGUAAAUGAUGCACUAAAUAAGAAGCAAAUGAAAAAAUACCUGCUACCCACAAAUCUACCUUUCAGUCUCAUGUGCUUGGGCAAUCACUGCCUUCCUCUCUAGCAGAGUCAUUUUUGGUGAGGAAGGGCAACCUUUCCUACAUGUUUGUGGCAUAGCCGAGAACCACCAGGUUAGGGGCUUUACAUGAAAUAAUUAUCUCAAACAAUAGUUUCAACAAACCUGCAAGGUAAAGUAGUUUACUCUCUUUUUCACAGAUGGGUUUGGGAACGCUCUUGCUCCAGGUCAUUAGAAAAUACUAGCCAGCAACAUAAAAAUGUCAAAAAGUACAUCUUGAAAUUAAAUGCUCCCCAAAUUUAUGACAGUAUUAUAUUGGGGAAUUUUCAGGAAAAACAAACACAUCAUAAAGUAGGGAAAUUGUUUCUGUUGCUAUUAUUUUUGCAGUAUGGAUAGCCAAAGAAUUAAAAACAGGGAAAAUAUCUAUAACAUGAGAAUAUGAAACAGAGGGAAGAAAUGCAAUAAAAAAUUAAAAUUAUGAAGAACAUCGGGAUGGGGGUCGUAAUGGGCUCAUCAAAGUCUGUAGGCUAGAGUUGAGUAUGAUAUAAUGAAGUCACUAUUUGUGCAUUGGUUCAUUCAUUCAUCAUUUAGCACAUACCUAUUGAGCACCAAUUAUAUAUAUUGGUCAGUUUUCUAAGAGGUAGUGAUGCACAGAGCGUAAAACAAUCAAGAUUCCUGAGCUGGUGAAGCAUAACUUUAGGAAAAGAACUGAAUCACUAAUAAAGAACCAGAUAUUGUUAGACACCAGUUUUCUAUUAAAAGGAAGUUUAGUGGAUGAAGAUUAAUGUGAGUGUUUUUUAUUUUUUGUUUUUAAUAGAGUAACCAGAAUACACCUUUCCGAGGAAAUGACCUUUGAGCAAAUGUAAAGGCAAAUAAUGUGAUAUUUGGAGAAUACUGCUCAUGCAGAGAGAACAGUGAUUAUGUCGAUCUCAGGCUGAGAAUGUUAGAUGUGGUAUGUGUUUGGAAAGGUUGGAGUCCAACCAAUCAGCCUUUUUCAAUUUAAAGAUCCAGCAUUGUGUCUACAGUGGUGCAGGUUCAUUCCCUAGCCUGGUUCAGUGGGUUAAGAAUCCAGUGUUGCUGCAGACGUGACAUAGGUCGCAACUGAGGUUUGAAUUCUGUCCCUGGCCUGGGAAUUUCCAUAUACUGUGAGUGUGGCAAAAAAAGAAACUCUUAACACAAGAUUCUGCUCAUCCAUGACAGUUUUUAAAGGGAGAAAUGGAGGUGGGGUGGAGAAGAAUCUCAGUGAAUCAUAGGGAGGGUUGGGUUUUGCAUCAUUGUCCAUUGCACACAGACUGUCUGACUCUUUUCAGAUGUUAUCUUGCUCCUGUAACCUGCCUGCAGGAUUGCUAAAGGGACUGUUGAGGGUGGAGAGAGAGUAAUUUUUAACUGCUUAUUUCUUCUCUUUCUUCUUUUUAUCUAAGAAAAGAAUGAGCAGGUUAGACAAGGCAUGGUGUUUAUUCAAAAGAGCGUUAAGUCAGUAGUUACUUUUAGUUGCUUAGGGAUCUCAUUUCUAUAAUUAGGUCAUUUUAAGGUUAGAGGGGAGCAGAAAUGGACUGACAGGAAAGGGGCAAAAGAGUUGCUUUCAUAUUGGUUGGUAAAUAGAUGAGUGAGUGUUUUAUAAGAAAUAAAUUUUAUAUCAGAUGAUAUCCCUUAUAUGUGGAAUCUAAAACAUGGCAGCCAUGAACCUAUCUACAAAACAGAAACAGACUCACAGACUUGCCAAGGGGGAGUGGGGAAGGGGUGGGAUGGAUGGGGAGUUUGGGGUUAGAAGACUCACACUAUUGCAUUUAAAAUGGAUGAGCAAUGAGGUCCCACUGUAUAACAUAGGUAAAUAUAUCCAGUCUUUUGGGAUAUACCAUGAUGGAAGAUAAUAUAAGGGAAUGUGUGUGUGUGUGUGUAUAUGUGUGUGCAUAUAUAUAUUGCUAGGUCCCUCUGCCGUACAGCAUAAAUUGGCACAGCAUUGUAAAUCAACUAUACUUUGAUGUUUAAAAAAUUUUAAAAAACUUAAAAAAAGAAAUCUUAAGGGGCAAAAAGAAAACUAUGAUAAUUUCAACAUGGCAAGUUUCAAAUUUACACUAUCUUGAUUUUACAUGCUUUACUAAGUCAAAUUCUACAACCAUUUUGCCAAGUAUAGAAAUAAAAUUUGAUCAAAUUUCUUUCUCUUGUGGUAUCUGAAACUUCUGUCAGAAUAAUAUGAAUAUAUGAUGAAUAAAAUAAAGGAAAGCCUUUCUAUAUUCUUAAAUCUGAGUAGAAUCAAGGAACAAAACGUAUAGCAUUUUAUUUGGGCAUAUACAAAAUAACAUACAGCUAUGGAAGAUAAAUUAAAACACUGCAAUAUCUAAAACAGAAGUCAUAUUUCCUGUGUCAGCCCUGCAAUACAGAAAUAAUCAUUAACGAUGGCUUUGAUACUUACAUAAUAAGUUUCACAACUGAGUCUUCUGUAAUUCAAACUGAAUGCAAAAUUCUGUUUCCUAAUGUUAUUAUUUAAGUAUAGGACAUGCACUUUUGCAUUUUAUUGCAGAGUUUUCAGAACUAAAAUUUUCAAAUGGAGGUAAUAAUUCAACUGAUAUUUAAUGUUAAUAUUUUUAUAUUUUUUGGUAUCAUUAUAAGUAAUGCUAAGAUUAACAACUUUUUCUUCCCCUUAAAGUCAAAAUUCCAUGCUAUAUUUUCUAUGAUUCUUUCCUUGUUUUUUCCCAAGUGAAAGGGAUGCUAUUUCACUUAAACAUUCUUAACCUUUUUAUUCUGCUUCCUCAGGUUAUUUGCAUGCAUGAAUUAUCUCUUGUAGUAGGAGUAAAACAAUUGUUAGAAACUUCAAUUAUUUAGUACAUUCUAAGUAGUCUCUAAAUAUUUGUUAAAUAAAUGUCAAAAGGAAGAAUGGCUAAGGAAUUUAAUGAUUUCUUUCAAAAAAUUUAUCUUCUGUUUCCAAGACUCAUUGUCAACAUAGUCACUUAUUUUGACAAUUGCCCACGAGAUAUUUCCUUCAGUUUAAAUGCAGAGUCGUUGAAAUUCAAACGUAAGUUCAUUGAGCAAAAGUCCUUAUAGUUGUCAGAAAUACAACUUAACUAAACAUUAGCCUUGGAAAAAUAAAUUUGAACUGGCAGCCAAUGCACAAAAUUGCUAAUUGUUCUCACUUGACUGUGUAUCUUAGUUGGUAUUUGGUCUUUCACUACAUGAAAUGCAUGUAGAUAGUGAAUCUUCUGUCUUUCUAGUAUUAUUUAAACUUAAGCUUCUGAAUCAUUCAAAAGCAUAGUUCACAAGUCAUAUAUUGUGUUUCAGUUAUUUAAAGUAUAACUUAUAUUAAUAGAUUUCUGUCUAUAUAUAUUUAUAUUCUAUCUAGGUAUCUAUAUACUGUCUAUUGAUUACUACAAUAUUUUUAUUCAUUAUGCAUUCCUGCAGUCAAAUAGUAUUUCUGGAAUGCAUGUGGUGGCCUUGAACAUAGGACAUUGGAAAUGUGGUUUGUAUUCAAGCAGUGGUUCUCAGCCAGAGAUGAUCAUGCCCCCCACACAUACGCCUUGGGCCUUUGACAGUGUGUGGAGACGUUUUUGGUUGUCUGUCUGGUGAGUGAUGGGAGCUACUAAUAUCUAACGGUUAGAGGAUCAGGAAUGCUGCUCAAUGUCCUGCAGUUCACACAAUAGUUAUCUGGUCUAAUGCAUCAGUACCACUGAGGUUAAGAAAUCAUGUCUUGCAGUUCAUAACGUGGCCCAGCGGGUCAGGAAUCAGACUGCAGCAGCUUGGGUCACUAAAGAGGUGUGGUUCAAUCCCUGGCCUUGCACAGUGGGUUAAAGGAUACAGCAUUGCCCCAGCUGCAUGAAGACUCUGUCCCUGGCCUGGAAACUUCAUAUGCCAUCAGUAUGGCCAUAAAGGAAAAAAAAAAAGAAAAA